GACGAACGCUGGCGGCGUGCUUAACACAUGCAAGUCGAACGGAAAGGCCCUGCUUUUGUGGGGUGCUCGAGUGGCGAACGGGUGAGUAACACGUGAGUUACCUGCCCUUGACUUUGGGCUAACUUCAAGAAACUGGGGCUAAUACCGGAUAGGCGCUCCUGCUGCUUGGUGGGGGUUGGCACGUUUCGGCGGUUGGGGAUGGACUCGCGGCUUAUCAGCUUGUUGGUGGGGUAGCGGCUUACCAAGGCUUUGACGGUCAGCCGGCCUGAGAGGGUGACCGGCCAAAUUGGGAUUGAGAUACGGCCCGGACUCCUACGGGAGGCAGCAGUGGGAAAUAUUGCACAAUGGGCGGAAGCCGGAUGCAGCAACGCGGCGUGCGGGAUGACGGCCUUCGGGUUGUAAACCGCUUUCGCCUGUGACGAAGCGUGAGUGACGGUAAUGGGUAAAGAAGCACCGGCUAACUACGUG
rnacentral:rRNA from 1 species